rnacentral:rRNA from 1 species
AUUGAACGCUGGCGGCAGGCCUAACACAUGCAAGUCGAACGAGUUGCGGACGGGUGAGUAAUGUAUGGGAAACUGCCUGAUGGCGGGGGAUAACUACUGGAAACGGUAGCUAAUACCGCAUACCAUCGGAUGUGCCCAUAUGGGAUUAGCUAGUAGGUGGGGUAAAGGCUCACCUAGGCUACGAUCCCUAGCUGGUCUGAGAGGAUGACCAUCCACACUGGAACUGAGAAACGGUCCAGACUCCGACGGGAGGCAGCAGUGGGGAAUAUUGGACAAUGGGGGAAAGCCUGAUGAAGCCAUGCCGCGUGUUUGAAGAAGGCCUUCGGGUUGUAAAGUACUUUCAGCGGGGAGGCGUUAACCGCAGAAGAAGCACCGGCUAACUCCGUGCCAGCAGCCGCGGUAAUAC